GUGGACAAAGCCACACCAGAUGAUUCGUGCACUCUUACUAUUCUGCAAUUUCAAAAAAAAAAAAAAAAACGGUAGAACAGCCUACCAAAUAAAGCAAAAAAAAGAAUAUAUCAAUAACAUGUAACUUAAAAUCAUACCUUGCAUCUUUAGUGUGUGGACGGCGGUAACAACCAAAUGGUGACCUUAAGUCUUGAAUAGUAGCCCCACAGUGAUCAAAUUAAGAUAAAUUGACUUUUUUCUGGAAGAUUUCUUGCUCAGUUGCUCCUAGAGAUUUCACUGUCUGCAUCCAAAAUAGGAGGUGGACACAACAGUAUACUCCCGAUAAGAUGACUUAGACAUAUCAUCAAAUACCAUGGCUGCAAGCUCCAUUUCAAAAUUACAGUCACUUCUGAUACCUUGAAGUUUUGGUAACAAAGACAAAAUACAUCAAAGAGACAAUGCACGUGUAAAUCAGGUAUGAUUACUAACAUGUAAUAGAAAUUAGCUAAAAUUUAUAUUCAAAAGAAUUUAUCAAUAGCAAUACUGCAAGACUGUGAAAACCGAAGCAGUGCUCAUAGGAGUCGUCCUGAAUUUUGGAGGUGCGAUACACACGUGUGUGCCGACCAAUUUUUCAAAAACAGCAUGUAGCAACUCUUUUUCAGAGAGAAAAGUAACAGAAACAGAAACCACAGAGUAAGAAGAAAGAAAGAGAUCGGGAAAUAGAAGAGAAGUGCAGGCCAGAUAUCCCAAAUAAGUAGACAUGUGUCGUCCAAGGAAGAGAAAUAUAUGAUUGCAAAAAUUAGAAUCGCUUGUCCACCCCCGAGGAUAAAUAAAUUCAAUCGCCAAUGACAAAGGUCCAAAUCCACAGUACAAUCUCGAUUACUAUGUGUACAAUAAUUUAAUGUAGUGUUCGUACACCCUGCCCUCACUUAUAUAUAUGCCAAGUAUUUCAUCAAUCUCAGUUUUUUAUUUAUCAAA
rnacentral:lncRNA from 1 species